rnacentral:rRNA from 1 species
UGGGGAAUAUUGCACAAUGGGCGGAAGCCUGAUGCAGCGACGCCGCGUGAGGGAUGACGGCCUUCGGGUUGUAAACCUCUUUCAGUAGGGACGAAGCGUAAGUGACGGUACCCUGUGAGGAAGCCCCGGCUAACUACGUGCCAGCAGCCGCGGUAAUACGUAGGGGGCUAGCGUUAUCCGGAUUUACUGGGCGUAAAGGGUGCGUAGGUGGUCCUUCAAGUCGGUGGUUAAAGGCUACGGCUCAACCGUAGUAAGCCGCCGAAACUGGAGGACUUGAGUGCAGGAGAGGAAAGUGGAAUUCCCAGUGUAGCGGUGAAAUGCGUAGAUAUUGGGAGGAACACCAGUAGCGAAGGCGGCUUUCUGGACUGCAACUGACACUGAGGCACGAAAGCGUGGGUAGCAAACAGG